rfam:Ornithorhynchus anatinus chromosome X1, whole genome shotgun sequence.
CCCCUCUCAGGGUCGUACCUGGAGAGUUUCCAGUAUUCUCCCGGUAGCGGCUCCGGGAGGCAGAGUCAAGCAGAGGCCUACCCAUUCUAUUCCUAGCUUGGGCAGUGGCUAGCGAGUGGAAGGCAAACUGCUACAGGU